rnacentral:rRNA from 1 species
UACAGAGGUCUCAAGCGUUGUUCGGAUUCAUUGGGCGUAAAGGGUGCGUAGGUGGCGCCGUAAGUCGGGUGUGAAAUUUCGGAGCUUAACUCCGAAACUGCAUUCGAUACUGCGGUGCUUGAGGACUGGAGAGGAGACUGGAAUUCAUGGUGUAGCAGUGAAAUGCGUAGAGAUCAUGAGGAAGACCAGUGGCGAAGGCGGGUCUCUGGACAGUUCCUGACACUGAGGCACGAAGGCCGGGGGAGCAAACGGG